ACGUAUUACGUAAUAUGUUAUGACGUUGCAACGUAUUACGUCAUAUGGGAUGACGAUAUAACAUAUUACGUUUUAUGG
rnacentral:pre_miRNA from 13 species